AUUCUGACACAAUUGUAAUA
rnacentral:miRNA from 1 species